GAAAGUUGGUGAUAAAGAGAUAUUAGUAGUAUAUUCUUUGGUGUAAUAUUAUUUGGUGAAUAGUUCAAAUUAAGGAUGAGAUAUUUUGAAGCUCUUGAGGACUUGGGGAGAGUUGGUAAUAUAGUUUGCAUAGUUGUUUUGUUUAUCUGAUGUCAUUAGAGUUUUGUAUGAAUUUAUGUAAAAUAAAACAAAAAUAAUUUGUUAGAUCUUUGUCAUGUGUGGAAUAUAAACGUUCUACGAAUUAAAAAUAAUUUUAAAUAUUUUGGGUAUUCGAAUCGUAUUUAGAUGAAGAGAAAUGUUUGUGAUUUCGAAUUAUAUUCCGAAGAGUACGUACGCUUGCAAGAAUGAAACUCAAAGAUAUUAGCGGGGGGUCCGCACCAACAGUGGAUCAUGUGAUUUAACGCGAAGAACCUUACCAAGGCUUGACACGGUAGCUGACGAAUCUUUUGCAAGUACAUUGAUAAUUGCGUGGAUCGAUGACUUAUCCGCGUUGAUCGUUAUAAAUGGCGGCGCUACGUCAUAACUAAAUUAUUAUUUUGUAUCUUAUUUGAAUUUCGAGGACGGAAUUAUUUUUAAGGGGUGAAAAAUGUAACAACCCAUUUUUUUUAAUAAUAAUUAAAUAUUAAGUGAUUUUUGUAUAUACAAUUGUGUUUAAAUUGAAAAAGGUAAAUGAUUUUUUUUCCCCUCUUUUCUUCCUUGUUUUGUUAGAAAUUAAAUUCUUCUAGUAGAUAAUUAAAUAACUUAUGAAAUUAAAAUUUAGGAAGAUAAUUUCUUUUGCUAAAAUCUUUCGGAGCGGGAAGCUGCUUGGGAUAUAGAGGAGUCUAUUCGAGCGGAGUAUCCACAUCUUUUGAUAAUUACGUGUGUUCAUUCUUUUGAUUCCGGGGACGGAAUUCUUUUUAAGGGGUAGGUGAUGUAAUACCC
rnacentral:lncRNA from 1 species